rnacentral:rRNA from 1 species
UACGGAGGAUCCGAGCGUUAUCCGGAUUUAUUGGGUUUAAAGGGUGCGUAGGUGGUCUUAUAAGUCAGUGGUGAAAGUUUGCGGCUUAACCGUAAAAUUGCCAUUGAAACUGUAGGACUUGAGUACAAAUGAGGUAGGCGGAAUGUGUUGUGUAGCGGUGAAAUGCUUAGAUAUAACACAGAACACCAAUUGCGAAGGCAGCUUACUGGGAUGUAACUGACACUGAGGCACGAAAGCGUGGGGAUCAAACAGGAUUAGAUACCCUGGUAGUCCACGCUGUAAACGAUGAAUACUAACUGUAUGCGAUAUACUGUAUGCGGUACAGCGAAAGCGUUAAGUAUUCCACCUGGGGAGUACGUUGGCAACAAUGAA